rnacentral:ncRNA from 1 species
UGAUAGCGAUGAAACGUGAGGUUGCUGCCUGGGAAUGGCAGGUUUUCCGCGGAGCGAAUGUCAAGUUAGGAAACUGACGGCAA